rnacentral:lncRNA from 1 species
CCCCAUCAGAUUUUUAAACUUUAAAAUUUGUUGUAAUUUCUUUUCUCAUUCUAAACAACUGUUCCUUUUUGUACGCUUAAUUCACUGUUUGUAUCUUGUGUUCUUUUUAUUGAAGGUGAUGCUAAAGAUUAUACUAGCUUUAGGCCCCACAAAGCAUGGAUCCACCCCUGUCUACCAGCAGAGCAGAUGGGGGAAAGCUACUAUGGAUGGGAAAAAUCGAGGGACAGAGAACAAGAGUCUUAUUUCAGACCACAUUCAUCACAAAGGUCAUGUCCAAGGAGAAUGUGACACUGAAAACUUUGAAUGUUUGGACCAUUGCAUCUCAACUCUGGCUGCGCAAUGGAGUCAUCUGGGGAGUUUUGUAAAAGCGCUCAUGCCUCACUCCCAUUCCAGACCGAAUACAUCAUCAUCUCGGGCCAGAAGCCGAGCACUGGCAUGCUUUCAAAUCUGGUACCGGUCAAGUAUCUUCCAGCUCUGAGUGAAACCAGUAAUUCUCAAACUUUGUUCAAACGCAAAGCUCUCUUCCUUGAAUUUCAACUCUUCAGGAACCCAGAUUCCGCUUGUAUAUUUUAGGGAGGUUUAUCAAAGCCCAGUGUCCAGAUUGCACCCCGUAUCCAUUCAAUCAGAAUUUCUGAGAGUGACAACCAGGCAUCAGUAUUUUUUCAGAUUUCCUAGAUGCUUCCAAAGUGUCAGCAAAUCUGAGAACCAAUGAGUGAAAUGAUGACGAUGCAACUCAAACACCAAGGACCUAUGGGGGCCACCAGAAAGGUAGAACGUCUUCCAAGCCAGAAACAGGAAACCAGCAGUUUGGCUGGAGCUUUCUUGGUGGUAUUAACAAAUCUAAAGAUAGAAUGUAUCAACCAAAGGGGGCUGUUUGCAUGCAGAGAGAAAGUGGGAGUCAGAGGGGAAGGACUCGCCAAGGAGAGAGGGCACCGGUGAGCUGACUAGGACAUCCAGUUCUAUCGGUGUGGCAGGUGCACCUCCAAAAGAGGAGGAUGAAAGCAUGAGCUCAAGAAAACUUGACAUCCUUUGACAUGAAAAACAUCCCUCUCAUAUCCUCUGCUCAGACUGCCUACUCAAGCUGCGUCCUCAUGACCAUUCGCCUUCCUGUUUAGUUUCCUAUGGGUUCGAGGUGACACAGGUGUUUGUUCUGCUUAGAAGUUCUUCUUUCUCAUUGCAAAUGAAUGAAUCGGGAUUUGGGUUUAUCUAGCCGUCUCUCGAGAGCUUGACUGGUGUGAAUCUGUCCCUGAGAACCUGAUCCAUUCUCGUGCAUGGCUGGGUCCGCAAAUCAAUUUCACCAAAGUGGUGCCAUCCCAAAAUUUCUAGGGCUUAGUGCAAUGCCAUUGUCAUGGUAGAGCUCCACUAGGUUGGGAGGUUCUGGAGAUGCUGGGGUUGGGGUCAGUGUUUUAGUCUUCUGUGUGUCCCUGAUACCCAGUUCAGUGCUGGGACAUUGUAGAUAAGGGCGAUAGUCUAAAUAU